UAUAUACUCCCUCCGUUCCAAAAUAGAUGACCCAACUUUAUAUUAACUUUGUACUAAAGUUAGUACAAAGUUGGGUCAUCUAUUUUGGAACGGAGGGAGUAGAUU
rfam:Triticum aestivum genome assembly, contig: Triticum_aestivum_CS42_TGACv1_scaffold_062190_1DL